AUUAGAUAAAAAACCAAUGCCCCUCGGGGCUCCUUGGUGAUUCAUAAUAACUUCACGAAUCGCAUGGCCUUGCGCCGGCGAUGGUUCAUUCAAAUUUCUGCCCUAUCAACUUUCGAUGGUAGGAUAGUGGCCUACCAUGGUGGCAACGGGUAACGGGGAAUUAGGGUUCGAUUCCGGAGAGGGAGCCUGAGAAACGGCUACCACAUCCAAGGAAGGCAGCAGGCGCGCAAAUUACCCAAUCCCGAUACGGGGAGGUAGUGACAAUAAAUACUGAUACAGGGCUCUUUUGGGUCUUGUAAUUGGAAUGAGAACAAUCUAAAUCCCUUAACGAGGAACAAUUGGAGGGCAAGUCUGGUGCCAGCAGCCGCGGUAAUUCCAGCUCCAAUAGCGUAUAUUAAAGUUGUUGCAGUUAAAAAGCUCGUAGUUGAACCUUGGGCCCGUCCUGCCGGUCCGCCUCACCGCGAGUACUGGUCCGGAUGGGCCUUUCUUUCUGGGGAAUCCCAUGGCCUUCACUGG
rnacentral:rRNA from 1 species